UUACCUGCGGUAGUCAAAACAGAGGUUCUGAUUGGUAGUUCAUCUUUUAAUUUGUUUGUAGGCUACACCUGUGGCGAUGUUGGAAAUUUAUGUAGACUCCCAUCAGCAUACAACACCAUUUUACCAAAGAAGGCAAUGUGCAGGAGCAUUAGAGUGUUUUGCCUCAUCUUAACUAAAGAUGGUGAGCGCGGAUCGUUUCUGAAUGCAGUUUCAUUAUUAAUGUUCGGAAUUGUUGCCGAGGGUGAAAAUAAGCCGCAGUCUUCAAUGCAAUCAAUAACCCAAGAUUGGGCUUCCCAGAGAUACAGCGGCACGGAAUGAGAGGAAACUGGAGUACCUGGAGGAAACCCACGCAAACACAGGGAGAACAUGCAUGCAGAGAGGACCCAGCCGGGACUCGAACCCAGAACCUCCUUCUUGUCGGUUGGUGGAAAGUGCCCGGAGCCAGUUCACCCUCCUGAAACUGGAUGUAUGAGGAGGUCUUGUCUUCAGGAGCAGUUUCAUUGGUCGAAUGUUGCGUGUGGCUUCUCUGGAGCUGAGGCGUGCCUCGUCCCUGGUAUCACCUUGGACAAGGUGACAUUUCCCCCCCUGUACAGCUAGCAAUUCAUCCGCUAUUGCUAUGUG